rnacentral:rRNA from 1 species
AGAAUCAACGCUGGCGGCGUGCCUAACACAUGCAAGUCGAACGAGAAAGUGGAGCAAUCCAUGAGUACAGUGGCGACCGGGUGAGUAACACGUGACUACCUACCCUUGAGUGGGGGAUAACCUCGGGAAACCGAGGCUAAUACCGCAUAAUAUCGAGAGAUCAAAGGAGUAAUCCGCUUUUGGAGGGGGUCGCGGCUGAUUAGCUAGUUGGUAGGGUAAUGGCCUACAAAGGCGAAGAUCGGUAUCCGGCCUGAGAGGGCGCGACGGAACGACACCUGGAACUGAAACACGGUCCAGACUCCUACGGGAGGCAGCAGUGGGGAAUUUUGCGCAAUGGGGGAAACCCUGACGCAGCAACGCCGCGUGGAGGAUGAAGUCCCUUGGGACGUAAACUCCUUUCGACCAAGACGAUAAUGACGGUACUGGUGGAAGAAGCACCGGCUAACUCUGUGCCAGCAGCCGC